rnacentral:rRNA from 1 species
AACGAACGCUGGCAGCGUGGAUGAGGCAUGCAAGUCGAACGGUCUUCAGCUAGUAGCAAUAUUGGUUGAUGAUAGUGGCGGAAGGGCGAGUAAUGCGAGAGCAAGCUACCCCUCGGACCGGGACAACGUCUGGAAACGGACGCUAAUACCGGAUUCGAAGCGGAACCGAAUAGUUCCGUCUUGAAAGGCGGGGACCCGCCAGGGCCGGUCGCCGAAGGAGGCGCUCCCGUGCCAUCAGCUAGUUGGUGAGGUAAUGGCUCACCAAGGCUUACGGCUAGCCGGCCUGAGAGGGUGACCGGCCACACUGGGACUGAGACACGGCCCAGACUCCUACGGGAGGCAGCAGUGGGGAAUAUUGCACAAUGGGCGCAAGCCUGAUGCAGCAACGCCGCGUGAGGGAUGACGGCCUUCGGGUUGUAAACCUCUUUUAGCAGGGAAGAAGCGAAAGUGACGGUACCUGCAGAAAAAGCACCGGCUAACUACGUGCCAGCCGCCGCAGUAA